UACGUAGGGUGCGAGCGUUGUCCGGAAUUUUUGGGCGUAAAGCGCACGUAGGCGGCUUUGUAAGUUAGAGGUGAAAGCCCGGGGCUCAACUCCGGAAUUGCCUUUAAGACUGCAUCGCUAGAAUUGUGGAGAGGUAAGUGGAAUUCCGAGUGUAGAGGUGAAAUUCGUAGAUAUUCGGAAGAACACCAGUGGCGAAGGCGACUUACUGGACACAUAUUGACGCUGAGGUGCGAAAGCGUGGGGAGCAAACAGG
rnacentral:rRNA from 1 species